rnacentral:rRNA from 1 species
CUAACAAGGAUUCCCCUAGUAACGGCGAGCGAAGCGGGAAUAGCUCAAAUUUGAAAUCUCCGACGCUUGCGUCGGCGAGUUGUAGUUGCGAGAAGCACUUUCUCGGCGGAUCGGGCGCGCCUAAGUUGCUUGGAACAGUACGUCGCAGAGGGUGACAACCCCGUCUGUGGCGCGGCCGGCCGCUCACGAUGUGCUUUCGAAGAGUCGGGUUGUUUGGGAAUGCAGCCCAAAACGGGUGGUAAACUCCAUCUAAAGCUAAAUAUUGACGUGAGACCGAUAGCGAACAAGUACCGUGAGGGAAAGAUGAAAAGAACUUUGAAAAGAGAGUUAAAAAGUACGUGAAACCGUUGAAAGGGAAACGAAUGAACUCAGCAACGCGCCGUUUGAGAUUCAGCCGGUCGGCGGCGUCGGCUCGGGGUUUGCGGAUCUGAAUGGACCGCGGUCUCGGGCUCGCCUCUGCCGACCGUCGCACUUCUCUUGGGCGCACGUCAACGUCGGUUGGGUCUGGGUCUGAAAGGUUCCGGGAAGACGAGUCCGUCAGCCCGGUUCUCUCGCGGCUCGGACUCGACCGAGGCAGUGUCGCAGCGCAUGCCUCUUUUGGCUAGGGUCCCGUCCCUCCGGCCGGUCGUCGACCGCGGUGGACUGCUUGCAGUGCUCCGCGACUGCUGCCGGUCGUUGGGGUGGUGAUCUCGUACCAUGCGCUUAUGAUGUUGGCGGCCAUAUGGGUCC